rnacentral:rRNA from 1 species
GUGAAAUUGAACUCGCUGUGAAGAUGCAGUGUACCCGCGGCAAGACGGAAAGACCCCGUGAACCUUUACUAUAGCUUGACACUGAACAUUGAGCCUUGAUGUGUAGGAUAGGUGGGAGGCUUUGAAGUGUGGACGCCAGUCUGCAUGGAGCCGGCCUUGAAAUACCACCCUUUAAUGUUUGAUGUUCUAACGUGGACCCGUGAUCCGGGUUGCGGACAGUGUCUGGUGGGUAGUUUGACUGGGGCGGUCUCCUCCUAAAGAGUAACGGAGGAGCACGAAGGUUGGCUAAUCCUGGUCGGACAUCAGGAGGUUAGUGCAAUGGCAUAAGCCAGCUUGACUGCGAGCGUGACGGCGCGAGCAGGUGCGAAAGCAGGUCAUAGUGAUCCGGUGGUUCUGAAUGGAAGGGCCAUCGCUCAACGGAUAAAAGGUACUCCGGGGAUAACAGGCUGAUACCGCCCAAGAGUUCAUAUCGACGGCGGUGUUUGGCACCUCGAUGUCGGCUCAUCACAUCCUGGGGCUGAAGUAGGUCCCAAGGGUAUGGCUGUUCGCCAUUUAAAGUGGUACGCGAGCUGGGUUUAGAACGUCGUGAGACAGUUCGGUCCCUAUCUGCCGUGGGCGCUGGAGAACUGAGGGGGGCUGCUCCUAGUACGAGAGGACCGGAGUGGACGCAUCACUGGUGUUCGGGUUGUCAUGCCAAUGGCACUGCCCGGUAGCUAAAUGCGGAAGAGAUAAGUGCUGAAAGCAUCUAAGCACGAAACUUGCCCCGAGAUGAGUUCUCCCUGACCCUUUAAGGGUCCUGAAGGAACGUUGAAGACGACGACGUUGAUAGGCCGGGUGUGUAAGCGCAGCGAUGCGUUGAGCUAACCGGUACUAAUGAACCGUGAGG